rnacentral:rRNA from 1 species
GGGGAAUCUUGCGCAAUGGGCGAAAGCCUGACGCAGCAACGCCGCGUGAGCGAAGACGGCCUUCGGGUUGUAAAGCUCUGUCAGGAGGGACGAAGCCACUCAGGUGAAUAGCCGAGAGGGUGACGGUACCUCCAGAGGAAGCCCCGGCUAACUACGUGCCAGCAGCCGCGGUAAUACGUAGGGGGCGAGCGUUGUCCGGAAUCAUUGGGCGUAAAGCGCGUGUAGGCGGCCAUCCAAGUCCGAUGUGAAAGCUCGGGGCUCAACCCCGAGUCUGCAUUGGAAACUGGAUGGCUUGAGUCCGGAAGAGGAGACUGGAAUUCCUGGUGUAGCGGUGAAAUGCGCAGAUAUCAGGAAGAACACCGGUGGCGAAGGCGGGUCUCUGGGACGGUACUGACGCUGAGACGCGAAAGCGUGGGGAGCAAAC